rnacentral:lncRNA from 1 species
UGGACAAAGCAUACUGAGAUCCUGACUCAACCCAAGGAAAUGUUCCUGCCUUCAGAGUGAGUAGGUAUAGGUAAGAAUAUUGAUGAAACUUCUGUCAAUUGUAGUGUUCUUGGCUCAAGAAAUGUCUGCAGAGAAUUGAUUGAUAAUCUUGGUUUUUGUGGUUAGUCCUUUCAGUUUUUAUAAAGGUCCUUAUUUAUCUGUUUUGGGGAAGCCCAAAGUAAAGAAUUGGAGUCUUAUAUUUGUUUUACCCCCAUUUUUCCUGUUAAGUAAUGGCUUAAG